rnacentral:rRNA from 1 species
GCCAGUAGUCAUAUGCUUGUCUCAAAGAUUAAGCCAUGCAUGUCUAAGUAUAAGCAACUUGUACUGUGAAACUGCGAAUGGCUCAUUAAAUCAGUUAUCGUUUAUUUGAUAGUACCUUACUACAUGGAUACCUGUGGUAAUUCUAGAGCUAAUACAUGCUAAAAACCUCGACUUCGGAAGGGGUGUAUUUAUUAGAUAAAAAACCAACGCCCUUCGGGGCUCCUUGGUGAAUCAUAAUAACUAAGCGAAUCGCAUGGCCUUGCGCCGGCGAUGGUUCAUUCAAAUUUCUGCCCUAUCAACUUUCGAUGGUAGGAUAGUGGCCUACCAUGGUGGCAACGGGUAACGGGGAAUUAGGGUU